CAAGUAUCUAUAACCUUCUUGUGACGUC
rnacentral:piRNA from 1 species